UGAAGGCUAGACUUCCAGAGAAGGAUCAACUAAAGGUGUGUGGUUAGAAAGGAAUUACUGUAAUUAAUCAACCACCCAAUAAGUACACUUUGGUAAGACACAUCACUGACUAAUGCUUUCUGUUUGAGCGGGCUGCUCUUCCACAGAAAGAGUUUUGGAAUGAUGUCAGGAUGAGGAAGAAAAACAGAACAGUUCUAAGUAAGGAAGAUUAAAGGAGGUACUGUACAUACGCUACCGUUCCAAAGUUUGGGGUCACUUAGGAAUUUCCUUGUUUUUGAAAGAAAAGCACAUUUUUUGUCCAUUAAAAUAACAUC